AUUCAUAGUCGUUUCAUUUCAGAAAGGUUCUCAAUCGAGUUGCAGCUUCCGCGUGAGAGUGAAGAAUGGCCGCAGGAUUGCCGCGUGCGCUUUGCUGCACUCUUCUUCCAGUUCAGAAAGUAAUUUCCUUGUUGGUUCCGCUGGCCACAAAGGAUGCAAUUCUGGAGGCUCUCUCUAGGCAAACGGAUAGCUCUCCAGAAACGUUUGAACUCUAUGUGAAAGAGAACAGCAAGCUCAUUGCGGUGAGAGAGGAGAUAGGCAGCUGUGACUCUCUUUUCGCUCUCGUGAGGUGUCGCGGGGGUGGCAAAGGCGGCUUUCGCAAGCAGCUUGAGAAGAAGGGUCGCGGAUUCGCGCGUGCAAAGAUGAAGGCAAAGCGCAAAAGCACGAAAGCGAUGCCUCAAGAAGGGAAAACUCAGCACAAGAAACGCGACACAGUGGCAGUGAAAACAAGACUUGCGAAGGCUGAGCCAAGCUCGACGAGAACGAUCGUAAAGCAAGGUCUUGCAUUUGUCAUAGAUUCCUUUCAAAAAGGGAGCCAUUCCUAAUCUGGUUGGUUUCUGUGCAUCACAAGCAUCUCUGCAAAAGACAAAAAAAUGCUGGAAAGCAGACACCAUAACUUACAGGUAUAUUCUUAUGCUUAUUUGCUCGGCGACGACCCGCCAGGCUCUUCAUCUCAGACGACUCAUACGGUGCCGUGCCAGUGUGACACAGCAAGCGGACGCAAGCAAGCUCGCAACACUUCUCUCUGCUCUUAGCUGACGCUUUCAUUUUUUUCCCUCCGUCAACUCCAG
rnacentral:misc_RNA from 1 species